rnacentral:rRNA from 1 species
UCCUGGCUCAGGAUGAACGCUGGCGGCGUGUCUAAGGCAUGCAAGUCGAAUGUCUCUUCGGAGACAUGGCAGACGGGAGAGGAACACAUUGGUAACCUGCCCCCAAGAGAAGGAUAACCCCGAGAAAUCGGGAAUAAUACUUCAUGUGCUGCAUUUUUAUAAAUUUGUGUAGUAAAGAUUUAUCGCUUGGGGAGGGGCCUAUGUCCUAUCAGCUUGUUGGUGAGGUAAAAGCUCACCAAGGCAAUGACGGGUACCGGGUGUGAGAGCAUGACCCGGCUCAAUGGGACUGAGACACUGCCCAUACUCCUACGGGAGGCUGCAGUUAAGAAUAUUCCACAAUGGCCGAAAGGCUGAUGGAGCGACGCCGCGUGUAGGAAGACGCCCCUCGGGGUGUAAACUACUUUUAUUAGGGACGAACAAAUGACGGUACCUAAUGAAUAAGGGGCUGCUAACCUCGUGCCAGCAGCAGCGGUAAUACGAGGGCCCCAAGCGUUAUCCGGAAUUACUGGGCGUAAAGCGUCCGCAGGCGGUUUGGAAAGUAUAUCGUUAAAUCUCAGGGCUUAACUCUGGGGCUGCGAUGUAAACUAUCAAACUAGAGGAUGGGAGAGGCAUCUGGAAUUGUCGGUGUGGUAGUAAAAUGCGUUAAUAUCGACAGGAACACCAAAAGCGAAAGCUUGAUGCUGGAACAUUCCUGACGCUCAGGGACGAAAGCGUGGGUAGCGAAUCGGAUUAGAUACCCGAGUAGUCCACGCCGUAAACGAUGCACACUAGGCAUUGGUAGUAUCGACCCUAUCAGUGCCGCUUACCCAAGCUAACGCGUUAAGUGUGCCGCCUGGGGAGUACGGCCGCAAGGCUAAAACUCAAAGGAAUUGACGGGAACCCGCACAAGCGGUGGAGCAUGUGGUUUAAUUCGAUGAUAAGCGAGGAACCUCACCAAGGUUUGACAUCUAGCUGCAAACCCCCAGAAACGGGGGCUCUUUCGAAGGUGCUAGACAGGUGUUGCAUGGUUGUCGUCAGCUCGUGGCGUGAGCUGUACGGUUAAGUCCGGUAACGAGCGCAACCCCUAUGCUGUGUUAUAUAUGUCACAGCAGACUGCCUAUGUAAGUAGGAGGAAGGUGGGGAUGACGUCAAAUCAGCAUGGCCCUUACACCUUGGGCUACACACGUGCUACAAUGGCUAGGACAAUGCGUUGCCAACCCGUAAGGGGGAGCUAAUCGCAUCAAACCUAGUCCCAGUUCGGAUUGGAGUCUGCAACUCGACUCCAUGAAGUUGGAAUCGCUAGUAACCGCGUAUCAGCCACGACGCGGUGAAUACGUUCUCGGGUUUUGUACACACCGCCCGUCACAUCAAGAGAGUCGGGGGCACCCGAAUGUCGACGAUUGUCGGCAGAAGGUGAAACCGAUGAUAGGGAUGAAGUCGUAACAAGGCA